rnacentral:lncRNA from 1 species
AUUCAGGUCAAGAAAUGAGGCUGCCUGGGGCCCUGUGCGAUUGGGCAAGUUGCUUAACCUUCAGGAGGAUUCACAAAGUCCUUUGGGAUUUUUCAGAACCUAAGAGGCAUUAUUAAAACAAAGAUAAUAAUACCUUUCCCGACCAACUUGUUUUUCACUUUUCCUAAUGUUUACUAAACACCGAUGUUCUGUGUCAUUCCCAGUGUCUGCACAUGAGGAGUUUGCGAUUUAAUGGGGAGACAAACAGAUAAUUGUUCUGCCUGGGAAGUCAUGUAAGGCUAAGAGAAGGAGGUGAAGCGGCAGAGGGAGAGCUUGAUCUUGUGAGAUUUAUUCAUUCGGCAAAUAUUUAUUCAUCCUUUACCAUAUGCCCAGGACUAUGCCAGGUGCUGAGGUUGAGUGGGUAUUUUUUUUUUUUUUCCUGGAGAGCAAGUCUCAUUCUGUCACCCAGGCUGGAGUGCAGUGGCGCGAUCUCGGCUCACUGCAACUUCCACCUCCUAGGUUCAAGCGAUUCUCCUGCCUCAGCCUCCUGAGUAGCUGGGAUUACAGGCAUGCGACCCCAAGACUGGCAAAUGUUCAUAUUUUUAGUAGAGAUGGUGUUUCACCAUGUUGGCCAGGCUGGUCUCGAACUCCUGACCUCAUGUGAUCCACCAGCCUUGGCCUCCUAAAGUGCAGGGAUUACAGACUUGAGCCACUGCGCCCGGUCCAGAGCAGCAGGCAUCCAUGGAAGAAUCAGAUCGGGACAACAUCUGUCUCUGCCCUUGGGAGAGGCCAAGUCUCAACCUCUUUGUGAUUCUACCUGUUCCUUCUGGAGCUCUGCAUGGCUGGCUUCUGGAAGGCCAUCAGCUGUGAUCUCACCUGGACCCAAAACUACAGCUCCCACUCACUGCCCAUCAUAUGAGCCACUGAAAGUCCUGGCGUGGUGUUGGAGGAGCUGUUUCCUGAUUGCAGAGUAUCUAGAAUGGAAGGCCUGUCGUGAUGGGAUUUUGUUGGCAGGUUGUCUUCCAGAUGGCUAUGAAGACAAUUUUGCUUUAUGCUGCCCAAUUCUGGUUGCUUCCUCUCCUAGGAAAUGAGAGCCUUCAUGGUGGACAUGGCCUUAAAGACCAACACUGUUGUUUUAUGGCUAAAAAGAUGGACAUACAGAUCGGUGAAAUGCCUACAAAACUAGAAUGCUACCCAGGCCCAGAGGCAGCUGUCUGAACAUAACCAUGGAGAGGAGAGUUUCCCCUUCCUGGAGCACCCUCUUCCCUUCCCUUCCCAGCACCCUCCUUCCCUGCUUCUCCAUCUGUUGUCACCUUUCCCCUCUGUACUGGAUUGAACAGUGUGCCCCAAAAAUUCAUGUUCACCUGGAACCUCAGCAUUUGACCUUAUCUGGAAAUAGGAUCUCUGCAGAUGUAACUCAGUUAACGUGAGGUCAUACUGGAUUAAGAUGAACCAUAAUCCAGGCUGGGUGCAGUGGCUUAUGCCUGUAAUCCCAGCACUUUGGGAGGCUGAGGCGGGAGGAUCACCUGAGGUUGGGAGUUUGAGACCAGCCUGACCAACAUGGAGAAACCCCGUCUCUACUGAAAAUACAAAAUUAGCCGGGCAUGGUGGUGCAUGCUGGUAGUCCCAGCUACUUGGGAGGCUGAGGCAGGAGAAUCACUUGAACUCGGGAGGCGGAGUUUGCGGUAAGCCAAAAUCGCGCCAUUGUGCUCCAGCCUGGGCAACAAGAGCAAAACUCCAUCUCAAAAAAAAAAAAAAAGAUGAACCAUAAUCCAAUAACUGGCAUCUUUACAAGAAGAGAGAAAUUUAGACACAAACACACAGUGGAAAGUGGUCACAUGAAGACAGAGGCAGAGAUUAGAGUUCUACGCCACAAACCAAGGAAUGCCAUACAUUGACAUCAACCAUUAAAGGCAAAGAAGAGACAAGGAAAAAUUGUUCUCUAGAGCCUUUGGAGAGAGCAUGGCCCUGCCGAAACCUUGAUUCCAGACCCCAACCUCCAGAACAGUGAGAGAAUACAUUUCUGUCGUUUUAAGCCAUUCAGUUAGUGGUGCUUUGUUACAACAGCCACAGGAAACCUGCACCCUCUUGUCUUGUGCUCUCCUCCAUCCCUCCCUUGGUGGAAGAAGAAUAGACUCCUAAGACACACGAAUUUACACAAACACAUUAGGAUCAAGGGCCCACAGCUUCAGUAUUUGCAUUUUAUAGGAUGACUUCCACUAAAGGUAACGAAGUGGAAGCAGGACUGGAAAUUCUCACAAAUGGAGGCCUAGUUACAGCUCUGCAAAUCACCCUUACAAAAAAAUGUAUCAUCACCUCCAUUUGAUAGAUGCAAAAGCCAGGGCUCAAAGAGGCAUGAGCAAAGGGGGCAGGGUUGUGUGGUGGCUAAGAGUGUAGCCUGUGGCCCCAUGGUCAGCCUGUGUCCAGAUCCUGGGUACUCUACUUCAUAACUGGCCAUAUGAACUUAGGCAAGUCAAUUUAACUUCUCUGGGCCUUGGUUGCCUCAUCUGUAGAAUGAGGAUAAUAAUAAUAAAAUCUAUCUCUAAGAUAGAUGGGAGGUAAAACCUAUCUCUAAGAUAGAUGGGUACCAUGGGUACCAUGCUCACUACCUGAAUGAAAGGAUUAAUGGUACCCCCAAACCUCAGUAUCACACAAUAUACCAUUAUAACAAACCUGCACCUAUACCCCCAAAUCUAAAAUAAAAACUGAAAAGAAGUUUUAAAAAAGUAAAAACAGAAAAAAAUGGAGCUAUGUGUAUUACUGGAAGGUUCUGGUAAUUUACCUAUUGUGGCUCAGCUACACAUCUCUUUGCUCUUUCAACCCUGCAAUACUUCUGUAACCACCCC